rnacentral:lncRNA from 1 species
GUCAACUUUGAGUAUUUCACAGAUGAAAUUAGUAAUCAUCGAGGUCAACAUCAUCAAGAGGCUCAUCAGCCUGCAGUGACUGGAAAUCAACUUUGUAGCGGAGGAUUCCUAUGCAUCAAGAUAUACUCCGUUAGCUAAUCAAAGUGGAAUCAGCCGCUUUUCAGUUAGUAUGUACUUCGAGUGGAUGAAUACAAAUUAUUACUUUAAGUAUAUUACUUUCAGUCAAAUAUAAUGUUAGUAGCCCCAAAAACAA